rnacentral:lncRNA from 1 species
GCUUAACCGACCGCGCCACCCAGGCGCCCCUAUUGUUUUCUUUUCAUUUGAAGCUAAUGUAUGAAAACUAAAAGACAAAAAAAUGAACAUGAAGUUACAUUUACUUUUAAAUAAUCUAUCAUUUAUGGAAUUCUUUUUUUUUUUCUUUUUCAGGAAAAGAGAGGCUUUUUAAGUGGGAAAUAUGAUAAAAUAUACAAACUUAAAUCAUGACUUCAAGACCGGGUGAUCCUGUAGUACAACAAAUCCUUUGUGGAAUGAGGCAAGCCAAAGAACUUGGCGUCCAAACAGAAGUGUCAUCACUUGAUAAUGGAUAUACUUGAAUCAGCCAAGCUACCCAUUCAGCAGCAGGAUAUUUGACAGCCUUUCUGAUUAAGGAAAAGAAGGUACUUUACAAAAAAGUUCUCUCAUGUUCAUGAAUUUUCAAGGUGGGACUUUUAUUUUCCAUCUGGCAUCUGUUUGUUUCUAAUUUUCUCACUUUAGGUGAACAAACUGUAGGGGAUUUAGAGAUAUCAUUCUGAGGCAUAAGGGCAAUCACCUGUACCACUUUUUAAAGAACUGUAGGUUAAUCGGCUCACUUCUC